CCUACGGGAGGCAGCAGUGGGGAAUAUUGCACAAUGGAGGAAACUCUGAUGCAGCAACGCCGCGUGAAUGAUGAAGGCCUUCGGGUCGUAAAGUUCUUUGAUUGGGGACGAUAAUGACGGUACCCAAAAAACAAGCCACGGCUAACUACGUGCCAGCAGCCGCGGUAAUA
rnacentral:rRNA from 1 species